UAUGUUGCAAAAUUGAAACAUUACUCGGCCGUCAUCUCAUUGUAUAACCAACUGGGUGUGUCGAGAAUUGGACAUGAUGUUUGUACCCUAACCAUUCUCAUAAAUUUUUAUUUUCAUCUAAACCAAAUGGGUAAAACUCCAUUUAGUUUAUCUGUAUUGGGAAAAUUCUUCAAACUUGGUCUUGAACCAAAUGUCUUUACCUUCAACACUCUAAUCAACGGCUUUCUUCUCCGGAAUAGAGUGGCGGAGGGAGGAGGAAUUUUUAACAAAAAGAUUGCAGGGGAAACACCUACAAACUUGACAUUUUGCAUGAAAGUUAACAACAGUGCAGCUAUUCAGUUGCUUAGAAAGAUGGAGGAAGGAGCUUGCAAGCCUGACCUAGUUGUCUAUAGCACAAUCAUCAACAGUCUUUGUAAGGAUACACUAGUUGAUGAUGCAUUAAACCUCUUCUCAAAAAUGAUGUGCAAGGGUAUUGCCCCAAAUGUCAUUACCUAUACAUCCUUGAUUCAUGGAGUUUGCAAAUUAGGCAAGUGGAAAGAAGCUACAAGGUUGUUGAAUGAAAUGGUGAGUAAAAACAUCUUUCCAAAUGUGUGCACGUUCAAUGUCUUGGUAGACACACUUUGUAAGGAGGGGAUGGUUGGAGAAGCAGAAGGCGUGGUUGAAAUGAUGAUUGAAAGGGAUAUUCAACCAUGAUACCGUUACAUACAAUUCACUUAUGAAUGGUUACUGUUUGCGAGGAGAAAUGAGCAAGGCUAGAAAAGUUUUUAAACUAAUGCUUAGCAAGGGCUUGAUGGUUAAUGUUGUUAGUUACAACACAUUGAUAAAUGGAUAUUGUAAGCAUAAGAUGAUGGAUGAGGCCAUGAUGCUACUUCGGGAAAUGACUCGUAAGGGACUGGUUCCAAAUACUGUUACUUAUAACACUCUUGUGGAUGGUUGUUGCAAAGUGGGGAAAUUAGGUGAUGCACGACAGUUGUUCUCAGAGAUGCAAGCUUGUGGUCAACUUCCAGAUGUUCAAACUUAUGCUACUCUACUGGAUGGCCUGUGUAAAAACCGACAACUUUCUACAGCAAUCCAACUGUUUAAAGAGAUGGAAGGCAAGAAGUUGGAUGUAAAUAUUGUGAUUUACACUAUUCUUAUUGAAGGUUUGUGCAUAGCUGAAAAAAUUGAAUCUGCAAGGGAACUCUUUUGUGGUUUAUCAUCAAGAGGGCUUCAACCGGAUGUAAGGACAUAUACCAUAAUGAUUAAUGGACUCUGUAUUGGGGGCCGAACAAGUGAAGCAGAAAAGCUGCUUACUGAAAUGGAAGAGAAAGGUUGUCCUCCAAAUGAUUGUACGUAUAACGUAAUUAUUCGAGGGUUUAUCAAUAACAAUGAGACAGUAAGGGUGAGAGGACUUAUUCAACAAAUGGUGGAGAAGGGUUUCUCGGCAGAUGCAUGGACUACAGAAUUGAUAGUUGAUCUAUUGGGUAAAGAUAAAGUAGAUCCUGCAUUGUUGCCAUUGAUGCAAAUAAAGAAUUAUGAGCUGAAUUUGCCUCAGUUAAAGUUGAACAGAUCUUCUGACCAUCCCAAUAAACAUUGAAGCUCUUCCACCUCUGGCAACCAUGGAUGUGUUAUAUCUGUUAUCUCUUAAUCCAUCAUGUGACAAUGUCGAGUAGUAGAUAUAACUUUUCCGAUA